rnacentral:rRNA from 1 species
GAGUCGGACCUGCCCAGUGAAUAACUUUUAACGGCCGCGGUACUCUGACCGUGCAAAGGUAGCAUAAUCAUUUGCCCUAUAACUGAGGGCUAGUAUGAAUGGUUUGACGUGAACAAAACUGUCUCUAUAUAAUUUUGUAGAACUUGAUUUUUAGGUGAAGAAACCUAAAUAUAAUUGAAAGACAAGAAGACCCUAUUGAGCUUUAAAAGAAUAAUUUGAUAAUAAUAUAUAAUUUUAGAUAUUAAUCUAUUUUAAAUUUUGGUUGGGGCGACUAUGGAACAAAUAAAGCUUCUUUAUUUUUGUAAAACUCUCGGGUUUUGAUCCAGAAAUUUUGAUUAAUGGAAUUAGUUACCAUAGGGAUAACAGCAUAAUUCUCUUUGAGAGUUCAUAUCGAAAAGAGAGUUUGUGACCUCGAUGUUGGACUAGAGUAUCCUAAAGAUGUAGCAGUCUUUAAGGGUUGGUC